GUUCCUCAGAGGGGAUUUGCCUAACUUGGGUGUUUCAAGGGACUGCCCAUGUUCACUGUGCAGGACUGUGGGCUGCAAAAAGACCAUUCUAAAGGAUUCAGGCAAAAAAGAGACCAACGGUCAAGUAUAUUUUCCUCUGUAAUUCCCUUUGGCCUCUGCUCUUCCUGAAUUUAAUGCUGUUAUCUUGGAAGAGGAUUUUCCUGCUCAGUUGCCAUAACAAACAAGGGAUCCACUUGCAAUCUGCCUUGGGUUAUUGUAGAUGUUAAGCUCAUUUGGAUCUCUAUUGCUGAUGACUUGCUUUGAACAAGGAGUCCCCAUUAAUGUGGAGAUAUCAGAAUACAUGGCAACAGUAGAAAAUGAGGAGCAUUCCCUGGUCCAGCUACUGCUGAUGUAUCAGGCCCUGAAGAAGCUGAAUAUUCUGCAUGUGAUGCGUGGAGAUGAGCUUGCUGACUACCACUCCCCCAAAAGUACAGGAUAGCGGGACAGGCCAGACAGUCACCUUUUGAAGACAUGAGGAGAAAGGAGAUGUCACAGGCUGCAUCCCUUUGUUAUCCUAGACCAGUGGCUCUCAACCUUUCCAGACUACUGUACCUCUUUCAGGAGUCUGAUUUGUCUUGCGUACCCCAAGUUUCACCUCACUUAAAAACUCUUGCUUACAAAAUCAGACAUAAAAAUACAAAAGUAUCACAGCACACUAGUACUGAAAAAUUGCUUACUUUCUCAGUUUUACCAUAUAAUUAUAAAAUACAUUGAUUGCAAUAUAAAUAUUGUGCUUACAUUUCAGUGUAUAGUAUAUAGAGCAGUAUAAACAAGUCCUUGUAUGAAAUUUUAGUUUCUACUGACUUUUCUAGUGUUUUUUUUAUGUAGCCCAUUGUAAAACUAGUCAAAUAUCUAGAUGAGCUGAUGUACCCCCUGGAAGAUCUCUGUGUACCCCCAGGGGUAUGUGUACACCUGUUUGAGAACCACUGUCCUAGACAAGGAUGAGUUUUUCUGUGCUCCCUGGCACUAUGCCAGUGGUUGCCUGAAAUGAGCUUUAUUGAGCCAGAUAGUGGUUGUGGGGUUUUGAGACUCUUCAGGAGGCACUUCAGUUGGGAAAAAAUUAGAGGCAGCUGAGCCUAGUUAGACUCAGAAUCUUGAAAAGAAUUUGGGCUAGUUGCAGGAGUUGCUGGGCAGAAUCUAAAGUAGGGAGUGCUAUGGGGGACUAGCUAACUGGGUUUAUGUUCAUAGUUAGUUCUUUUUAUGGAUUUAAGCCUCAUGAAUAGAAUGUGUCUAGAGGCUGCAACAGCUCUGGGGUUUUAUGUGUUGUUUUGUUUUACAUGAUUCCUGUAAAAACCAAACCUGAAAGCUCAGCAGUUUCAUUUCUGUUUCAAUGACUCUCUGCUGAACUUUCUCUCCAGCCAGUCAGACCCUGGCCCUGCCAAAUCAAGGCCUGGUUCUCCUCCCACUUAUACCAGUGUAAUUCUGUUGGUUUCACUGGUGUCAUUCCUGAUUUACCGCAAUGAAUAUGAAAGAAGAAUCAGGCCCCGUGCCCUCUUCAGGAAUCUGGAGAAGCUCUGAGAGUUUCAGGUUCAUAUCAAACACUGAAACCACAACCCUAAUUUUCUCUUCUAAGACUUUAGCACUGAUGGUUGAUUAUAUUUGUUAUGAGGAAUGUUAAAAGGUAUUUGUGCGACAAUUAAUAUUAUAAAGGUCCAGAGCUGUCACUACAGUUGUUUACUGAAAUAAUAAA